rnacentral:lncRNA from 1 species
UGGAAAACCUUCUGAGCUACAGAAGCUUUCCCGUGGCAUUUAUGGGAUUUGGUUUCGCUGCACUUUCACCCUGAAGAUGGUUUUUAUUGUUUGCCUCAUUGUGUAGCCCUGAAUUCAAAAAAGUUCACGGGCCUUUCUGCCUCCCUAGUAUUGGGAUUAAACGUAUGUCCCAUCACACUUGGCCAGAGACGGUUUUAGAAUCUUGCCAUUUGGGGUAUUUCUGAAAAUUUCAUUAAAAAUUUCAGGUGGCCCAUCCUCAAUUCUAUGGAGGUGGUGAUUCUGCCAUGUGGGGCAAGCCUUGAGAAAUAGAUUUCUCAAGAGCCCCAGUUUUAUUCACUUUCAGGAAAGGCGGUAGUUCUUCCCUUGAGACUCAACCCUUAAACUCGACAGCAACGUUGGAUUUAAGAAUGGCGAUAGUCCAAGCGCACCACUGGAUAGCGCCGAAAGUCCAAAGAUGGAAGAUUAUGACAAUCCGGUAUAUUCAACAUGAUGUGAAAGAAUUCCUCCCACAUAUCCAAAUGAG